GACGAACGCUGGCGGCAUGCUUAGCACAUGCAAGUCGAACGGAAAGGCCCUGCUUUUGUGGGGUGCUCGAGUGGCGAACGGGUGAGUAACACGUGAGUAACCUGCCCUUGACUUUGGGAUAACUUCAGGAAACUGGGGCUAAUACCGGAUAGGAGCUCCUGCUGCAUGGUGGGGGUUGGAAAGUUUCGGCGGUUGGGGAUGGACUCGCGGCUUAUCAGCUUGUUGGUGGGGUAGUGGCUUACCAAGGCUUUGACGGGUAGCCGGCCUGAGAGGGUGACCGGCCACAUUGGGACUGAGAUACGGCCCAGACUCCUACGGGAGGCAGCAGUGGGGAAUAUUGCACAAUGGGCGGAAGCCUGAUGCAGCAACGCCGCGUGCGGGAUGACGGCCUUCGGGUUGUAAACCGCUUUCGCCUGUGACGAAGCGUGAGUGACGGUAAUGGGUAAAGAAGCACCGGCUAACUACGUG
rnacentral:rRNA from 1 species